rnacentral:rRNA from 1 species
AAAGGAAGUUAGACGGGGCCCGGCCACAAGCGGUGGAGCAUGUGGUUUAAUUCGAUGAUACGCGAGGAACCUUACCUGGGCUCGAACGUAAGAUGACUGUAGGUGAAAGCUUACAUCUCUUCGGAGCAUUUUACGAGGUGCUGCAUGGUUGUCGUCAGCUCGUGCCGUGAGGUGUCGGGUUAAGUCCCAUAACGAGCGCAACCCCUACCUUUAGUUGCCAUCAGGUUAAGCUGGGGACUCUAAAGGAACUGCCUACGCAAGUAGUGAGGAAGGCGGGGAUGACGUCAAAUCAGCACGGCCCUUACGUCCAGGGCUACACACGUGCUACAAUGGCCGAUACAGAGGGCAGCUACCUGGUGACAGGAUGCAAAUCUCCAAAGUCGGUCUCAGUUCGGAUCGGAGUCUGCAACCCGACUCCGUGAAGUUGGAUUCGCUAGUAAUCGCGCAUCAGCCAUGGCGCGGUGAAUACGUUCCCGGGCCUU